AGAGUUUGAUCCUGGCUCAGGAUGAACGCUAGCGGCAGGCCUAAUACAUGCAAGUCGAACGGUAAAUAUUUAGCAAUAAAUAUGAGAGUGACGUACGGGUGCGUAACACGUAUGCAACCUACCCUUUACAGGCGGAUAGCUCGGGGAAACUCGAAUUAACCCGCCGUAAUAUAAUUGGAUGGCAUCAUCUGGUUAUUAAAUCUACGGAGGUAAAGGAUGGGCAUGCGUCUGAUUAGUUAGUUGGCGGGGUAACGGCCCACCAAGACGAUGAUCAGUAGGGGAACUGAGAGGUUGAUCCCCCACACUGGCACUGAGAUACGGGCCAGACUCCUACGGGAGGCAGCAGUAGGGAAUAUUGGUCAAUGGAGGCAACUCUGAACCAGCCAUGCCGCGUGCAGGAAGACAGCCCUCUGGGUCGUAAACCGCCUUUAUUCGGGAAUAAACCACAUUACGUGUAAUGUGCUGAAUGUACCGAAGGAAUAAGGAUCGGCUAACUCCGUGCCAGCAGCCGCGGUAAUACGGAGGAUCCAAGCGUUAUCCGGAUUUAUUGGGUUUAAAGGGUGCGUAGGCGGCUUAUUAAGUCAGGGGUGAAAGACGGUGGCUCAACCAUCGCAGUGCCUUUGAUACUGAUGAGCUUGAAUACACUAGAGGUAGGCGGAAUGUGACAAGUAGCGGUGAAAUGCAUAGAUAUGUCACAGAACACCGAUUGCGAAGGCAGCUUACUAUGGUGUGAUUGACGCUGAGGCACGAAAGCGUGGGGAUCAAACAGGAUUAGAUACCCUGGUAGUCCACGCCCUAAACGAUGAAUACUCGCUGUUAGCGAUAUACAGUUAGCGGCUAAGCGAAAGCGUUAAGUAUUCCACCUGGGGAGUACGCCCGCAAGGGUGAAACUCAAAGGAAUUGACGGGGGCCCGCACAAGCGGAGGAGCAUGUGGUUUAAUUCGAUGAUACGCGAGGAACCUUACCCGGGCUUGAAAGUUAGUGAAUCAUUUAGGGAUAGAUGAGUCCGCAAGGACACGAAACUAGGUGCUGCAUGGCUGUCGUCAGCUCGUGCCGUGAGGUGUUGGGUUAAGUCCCGCAACGAGCGCAACCCCUAUGUUUAGUUGCCAGCACGUUAUGGUGGGGACUCUAAACAGACUGCCUGUGCGAACAGAGAGGAAGGAGGGGACGACGUCAAGUCAUCAUGGCCCUUACGUCCGGGGCUACACACGUGCUACAAUGGAUGGUACAGAGGGCAGCAAGCUGGCAACAGCAAGCGAAUCUCAAAAAGCCAUUCACAGUUCGGAUAGAGGUCUGCAACUCGACCUCUUGAAGUUGGAUUCGCUAGUAAUCGCGUAUCAGCAAUGACGCGGUGAAUACGUUCCCGGGCCUUGUACACACCGCCCGUCAAGCCAUGGAAGUUGGGGGUACCUAAAGUAUGUAACCGCAAGGAGCGUCCUAGGGUAAAACCGAUAACUGGGGCUAAGUCGUAACAAGGUA
rnacentral:rRNA from 1 species